CUCGGUUAAGGAAAAAUAUAUUUCCUAUGACAAAUGCAUAUCCUAGGACGCGUUAUAGCUUGUUAAACGAUAAGAUGGACGAGAGUAAAUUCUCCUUUUUGGUAACGCGCAACGAAAUUAUUCCGACUUAGAAGAUGGAAGAACGCUCGAACGGCGUAAUUAAAAACAUAGAAGCGUUCAAAAACGCUUUCAUAAAAUGUAGGUUAAAGCGACGUUAAGAGUACAUACAUACCUAUAUGUACCUACAACGUACAACGACGGUUCAUUGUGAGAAGUUGUUUAUGUUAAAGAGAGAAAGAGCGGAAUUUUGCAACUGGUUGGUUGUCGUGGGAAAAGCGUGUAUCGCGAAUCAUCGAUAACUAGCCUCCUACAACCAUAUAUUACACCAUUGUGGAAACCAAGUAGGUGAUACAAUGGGUGUAACAAUGGUUAAGAAUUUCGUGAUAUCACAAUGCUUCAAUUUGUUUCGCUGGUUCUGCUAGAAAGGAGUCGCAUCGAAUGAAAGCGAAGAUUAUGAAUGGACAAAGAGAGUAGCCAAGGAGAAGUUUUAAAUGCAUCGUAAGAAGAAGCCUCACGGCAAUAGGCGAUUCCGUAUUCUCUCUUAUCGUCAAGCCGAUGAUAUAUUCCUUCGCGACGGUGGUGCGCUUUCACAAAAUCAAUGUCUAUCUUCCUCUAUCUCUUUUUUCUCCUGGAUUAAUUAUUUUUACACAUUAUAUGCAUUAUAUAUGGUAAUACUCUUUUUCUUUUUCUUUUUUUUCUUCCAAUGUUUCGGACAAAAGUUCGUUCCGUUUAUCUUAUAUUUAACUUGCUUCGACCACGCCACGUAUUUGUCUAGAGACCACGCAUCGCGGUUAUUAUAGGUAAUAGUAGUUGGUUAGAAUAAUGCAAGCUGCCCUUUUAACUUACUUACAGCAUUGACUUUUUGACUUUCCCGAAGCCAAGACAUAUUUUUAACAUCCAUCCGCAUAUAGGUACGUAUCUAUACGAAUCUGUCCAUAUGGUCAAGAUGAAUUUCUUUGCCAUAGCCAAAUAUAAUGCUUUAAAAGAACUUAGCUGUGUUGGUCGCGCGUGCAUAUGAUAUACUCGAAAAUUGGGAAAAUUUGGAUCGAAUUAACGAGAACCCCUACUGGUUUAUCCAUUCACGUUCGUUAUACGAUAUUUCUCUCAUGACAUCGGAGCAUCGAUCGAUGAAACGAUGUUCGACUAUAAUCUUUUGGUCGAUCGCCGUUGCCAAGUGACUAUUAUCUAAACACUUCACUUUAACUCCAUCCAAAUGCAUUACCAUCGGAUCUGACGGUUGCGUCGUUAAUGGAGCUUUGUUCGAUCAGUCCUUUCGACGGGAUCUAGGAGAGGAGGGGUUGCGUCGAAGGGUGACGUUUUCGAGCACCAUUUCCAGAGAGAGGGAGAGAGGGAGAGUAGAAAGGAAGAAAAAUUGUAAAAAUAGCUAUCUCGUUCGUUAACGCGGCGCACGUCGGAACGUGCGAGAAAAAACAAAAAAAGAGAGAUCGAAUAGAGAUCGUAGCUGAAAUAGAAGCGUCAUCGAUGUCGCAUGCAGAAACACUCUUUAAGAGGUAGUUGGCCCUCUUGAUUUACGGUAUGGCAAUAUAUAACGUUAAAAGGGAGAUCGCGUGACCGUUACCGUGCACGCUCGAUCGUAAAUUCUUUCCCCAGAGAGAGAGAGAGAGAGAGAGAGAGAGAGAGAGAGAGAGAGCGUCGCUACGAUUUUAUAAUAAAACGACAUCCAACGUGUACGUAUGUAAGACCGUAUCUAUGCAUCCAUCCAUCCAUCCAUCCAUAUAUAUACGAACGGGAUGAAUUUGUAAGACGCAAGCAAGCAACUUAUUUCGAACGAAUUUUCGAGCGUACCACGUAGAGACCGUUAAAACUCGUUGUUCCCGUAAUAAAAAUGCUCCUCGUUUCCCGAGGCGUUAGCAUAAUUGGAUGGAAAAUUCAAAUACGCUCGCGGGUUAAGCAAACAAUUUGGAAAGUGUUACGGUGUUUCUCUCCGUCCUUCUUUUUCUUUAUAAAGUAAAAGGAAAUGUCCCAACGUUAAUAUUAUAUUAUAUUAUCGUUAUGGAAUAACUUGUCUGAAAGAACGCAUAUUUUGCGUUAUUUUCAAUCGAUUCAUUAUAAUUCGUCCGGCGAAGCGAUUACCCGCGAAUUUACGUUUGACGAACGAUAGGCAAUAAAUAAAUUUGGCGGCGUUUCACUUGAAAUAUGUAUUCACCGUUUGCAGCGAGACGAAAUUUUUUUCUAGGUCAGCGAUACUUUUAGCACGAGAAUGGGCGGCUGAGACGCGCGAGGAGACGUGCAAGAUUGAAACUACUGCAGCAAGAAUAUUCCGUUUUCUUCCGCUUGACUUGGAGUCCCCAUUUGUACACGAUUUAUGAGAGUACCGUCGUCGGAUUAAAUAUCAUACCAUAGGUUACUUUAAAAGAGAGGAAAAAAGAGAAGGAGAUCUUUCGACAUCGAGCCUAAAUUGACGUUUUUCUAUUUUUCUUUUAUUUUCCUUUCUUUGUAUUCUCCAUUUCGUUAGAAAAAAGAAAAAAAAAAGAAGAGAUCUUUAGAUCUUGGAAAGUUUCAUCGCAGCAAGAAUUUUAUCGCUUUUUUUAAAUAAUCUCCCGUCGAGAUCUCUAAUUGGAUUUUGUUAUCAGAGCUAUUUACGAAGAAAGGAACGUUACGAUAGGGUGGAAAAAUCCGCGCGAGAACGUCUCGCUGGCGGUAAAGUUGGAUGAAACGAAGCCCCACGUACGUGUAGAUUCGCACAAAGCCCAGAAAUACGACAUUUCCGCGAAAGAACACACGCCUAUUAAAUCCAGUGACGCGCAUUGGAGAAAGUUUGUUAGGCGAAGGACGAGAGAGAAAGAGAGAGAGAGAGAGAGAGAGAGAGAGAACAAUGUCUGUACUCCUUAAGUAAAAGCUCGUGAAACUUCUCUCCCUUUAUCUUUCACGCGGUAGCCUAUAAAGUCCAUUCCUCUCGAAGAUCUUGGCAAACUUUGCCAGGCUGGAAGACUAUUAGAGAAUUAUUGUCCUUUGAGGAUCUAUUUUAUUUUUCUAAAGGGAACAGGCGAAACUUUCUUCCUCGUUAGAAGAAGAAUUACCGCUCGUUCGUUCUUCUAUCAUUGUUACUAAUAUUUUAUUUCCUCCUCUGCUUUUCACUCUCGAUAAGAAAUAAAAAAAUCAUCGCUAUCGCGUUUGAAUGAAACAUCUUGCAUAGUUUUUUGACAUUUCAACUUUCACCUUGUCUUGAGUCUUGGAAAUAUUCCAGUUUUGUUUUUUUUUUUUUUUUUUUUUCGUACGUCAACGGUGCGUACCGUAGCACGACUUCAGUCUCCAUUAAAACGUAUUCUGUGGCUGUAUUCAAGCACCGCCGGUAAAUCAUACGUCGGACAAACUUACCAACCGGUAGUUGUGUCGUAGCAAUGUUGCGUAUAAUACCGUACCAUUUGUCCCUUUCCCCUUUCCCUCUCACUCCUCCCUCUUUCUUUAUCUCGUAUCUUUUUCAUUUUAUUCCUUCUCUUCGUACGGGAACUCUAGUCUUUGAGCGGGUAAAUACUAAUAGAACAAAUGUGCCAGCAAACAGCCUCGCAUUAAACCCAACCAGUACCGACCAGCGAGGGAGGGGGCCGGUGGGAUAGAGAAAGAGAGAGAGAGAGAGAGAGAGAGAACUUUCAAACGACCAAAGUUUGUAUUAAUUACGUCGUUCUAAAGGAAACGAGGUAUACGGACCGAACGGAACGAAACGGCAGGGACCUCAUCUAUAGCACGCACGAAAUACAAAUAUCUACGACCUACGUCCUACGCAUAAAGUUAAAGGAAUCAUUUGUAUUAUUAAGAAAAUCGCGUGUGCUUGGAAGAGUUGGUAUAACAGUACUACGACGAUAUGGGCGAACGAGCAACAUUACUAAAAUAUCUCUUUGUUUACAAAAUGAAGAAAUUGAUAGAAAGCGAAAUAAAAAGAUAGUAAUUUUUGCUCGCGUUGAAAAAUAAAUGACGUUACGCCGAAUUCCAAAGAAAGUACGUAGGACGUAACUUUGCGAGCGAAGAAAUACAAAAAGGGGAAGAAGGAGAAUAGGCAUUCUCGACUGGCAUUCGGACGAGAAAUCGAACGUACGUAAGUUACGCAGAUACAAAUUGCGUGCGAUAAAACGCACGCGGUCGCGUGCCUAUUGUAUACUGACGUAUACGUAGGCAUAUACGUGCGUGUGAAUGAGAAGAGAGGCGUCAUUGUAACGCGUGGACAGGAGAAACGCGUUUGACCUAACGCGACCAGAGAAGCCAGCUGGUAUCGGAUUUUCCUCGCUUCCCGUGUUACAACCUACACGAUUUUAUAUAUAGUGCCUGAUCAAUUACUCUUCGAUAGACGCCAUAGAAGACGGCACACGGUCGCGUCGACGCGAGAUGCAUCUUGACGUAUCUUAAGCGCGUGUGGAUACACCUUCUUAUCCAUCGAACAUCUGUUUCUCGCUUCUCUCGGCCGUCUUCUUCUCCUCGUUUCUAAGAAUCCAGUCGAUCUCGGAGAAUGGCCCAUCAACAUGCGAGCGCCUUGGUAUAGUAUGUGAACCCGAUCUAUCACGACGUUGUAGUGAUAGAUCGCGAAACUUUGACGAUAGAAUUUCGAUAGGCCAAGUCCUUUUAUCGAAUUUAUUUUAAAGAAGAAUGGGAUAUAUCUUAAAAACUUUACAUGACAUAUUUUUAUUCUCGGAGCAAAUAAAUCACCGCAAAUAUUUCUAGGGAAUUUCACGACGACAUGUUCGUUACUUAUCGAUAAAAAAUAUAUUUAACUUCCUCGUGUAUCGGACGGGUGUUGUCGGUAAAAGCCAAAAGAACAAUAUCCUCGACUCCUACGAGUCCACAUGAGAAAAUCUCGAUUUAAUCCGAGAAGUCGUCGUAUCAAGCCCUUGAUAUUACAAGGGUAGCUCGACUCCAGUGGCCAGCAGGUAGCAGGUAGAUCGUGAGAAACCUCCUGCGUUAUCUACUUUCUACAAACGUGCAGAGUGUGUCCGAUCAAUAAACGACUCGCCUCCGCCAGGCUCCUCUCUUUCUCUUUCUCUCUCUCUCUCAUCCCUGUCCCAUCUCACUCUCGCCUUCUUGGACGCCUCGUCACGGCUCUUUGAACGUAAAAACAUGAGAUGCAACCUGACUCCUUGGCGGAAAAAAAGCUCAUCUCUCUCCCUCUAUUGGUUUGUUUAUCACCGAUCUAUGUUCUCCCCCUACUCUUUUCCUCAUCACCUUUCCCCCUCAGUCCAACGGAAGCGAUAGCGAACGUUUUAUCGAAAAGAGCCACUUCCGAGAGCGUAGCUCGAUCGUGUGGCUCGAACAUCAGAGAACAUGAGAACACGAGGGUGCAAGACCUUCGGCCUUUUCGGCGCGAGAAUAUGUCGUGGGGGAUGUUUGGCCGAAGAUGGCAGAUAUGCGGUUAGAUAUCGGAGAAUAUGAGAGUAAGAGAAAAUGGAUCUAGCAGCUCGUCAGAGAGAAAGAGAGAGAGAGAGAGAGAGAGAGAGAGAGAGAGAGAGAGAAAGAUAAAUAGAAAUAUACGGUAGAGGAAGAGAGAGGGAGAGAGAGAGAGAGAGGGAGGGAGGAGGAAAGAAGUCUUGUUUCACCCUCCGUUCGUUGGUACGCCGCACCGUAGGCGAAAUUUA